GAUGAACGCUGGCGGCGUGCUUAACACAUGCAAGUCGAACGAGAAGUGAAGACGGAAACCUUCGGGCGGAAGGCUUUAUUUCGAGUGGCGGACGGGUGAGUAACGCGUGGGUAACCUGCCUCAUACAGGGGGAUAACAGUUGGAAACGACUGUUAAUACCGCAUAAGGCCACAGCACCGCAUGGUGCGGGGGUAAAAACUCCGGUGGUAUGAGAUGGACCCGCGUUCGAUUAGCCAGUUGGCGGGGUAACGGCCCACCAAAGCGACGAUCGAUAGCCGAUCUGAGAGGAUGACCGGCCACAUUGGGACUGAGACACGGCCCAAACUCCUACGGGAGGCAGCAGUGGGGAAUAUUGCACAAUGGGGGAAACCCUGAUGCAGCGACGCCGCGUGAGUGAAGAAGUAUUUCGGUAUGUAAAGCUCUAUCAGCAGGGAAGAAAAUGACGGUACCUGAGUAAGAAGCCCCGGCUAACUACGUG
rnacentral:rRNA from 1 species